CGUGGCCGCGCCCCACUGCUCGUGGCAGCGGCCCAAGGGUAUAAACGUGUUUUACAAUCAGGGUUGCCAGGGCACCAAACACCCCCGCGGAGAUGAUAAGGGAGCUGGACAGGCUGCAGAGCUCCUGCUGGCAGAAGCGGGCAGGAAGGCACGGCCUGGACCAACUGCUGAUUUCUGAGAAAACAACCCAGAGGCAAUCACACGCCCAACCUUCUAGCAUUACUUAGCGUGAGGUGAUGCCACACAGUGCAAUAUGUCUUCUAGAACACAACUCUGGCCAGGACCCUCAAGCUUGCAAUUGAAGAACUAAUUUCCUCUGACUGAUAAAGCAAACAUUUGGUGCGAUGGCAUCUAGUUUCCUGAAAGUCUGAGAGAUGGGUUGCGAUGCUGGAAUCGAAGUGGUGACAUACUUAUCUGGAGCGGCAAUAGGUUCCCUCAUCCAUGGAGCUGGCUCAGAAGGAUGUAAAGACGCAACGAGUGUGUUCAGGGACUUUCCCCCACUAAAGAUACCACCAAAAUAAUUAUGAGCAGGACAUUUGAGCGGAGAUCACGUUUGGAAUAGUUUUGUAAACGAUUUUAAGGAAGGCCUUUGCUCUCUCUCUUUCAUCUUCCCAGAAUGCUUUUCCUCUCAGUUUGCCUAUCAAAAUCUUACCCAUUCUUUAAAGCUGAGCUCAGAUCUCAUCUUCUGCAUGAGGUCUUUGGAAGAAUAUUUUUUCCAUUGCUCUUUGUACUUCUGCAAUAGCACUCUUAUUAUAGUGAGUUGUCAGCUGUUUCUUUCGCUUGAUAGCAAACUUCUUAAAGGCAAGAAUUAUUUAUGUCUAUAGAUGCUAAGUGAUUAGUUCAGUUAUGUAUAAGUAGAUGUUCAAUAAAUAUCUAUUGAAUGAGCAUAUAUAGCUGCUUCCCCACAGGAGUGUAAGAGUAACUGCGUUGUCUGACUGCAGCAGUUGAAGACUUCCCCAGGGGCAAUGUCUACAGCACAAGAGUGUCUAGAAAAUAGGAAGGACAUGGUCCACACCUCCUGAUGCUUGCUGCUGUCAUUUACACCUGCUUCUCCAUACUGCUGAGUAAUGAGAAAAUCUUUUCUACUUUGUUAUUGCUCUUGCCUUUUUUUCCUCGGGACUAAUAAUUCAUUGGCCAAGCUAAAUGUCAGUCAUCUUUUCCUUCACUCUUUUUCUUCUCUUUCUGGUUCUUCCAUCAUGCCCUCCAAUUUUGGCUUGUUUAGGCAAGAUUAAUGCUCCUGACUACAGGACACUGUUUUCUCUUUGCACAAAUACUGUUCUGAGCAAGGAUCCUAUUUCUUUGGUGGCUUUGUUACAAUCCAGUAACACCUGGGUAUCUAUUUUCCUUACCGGAAAAAUAGCGCUGUCAAGGGAUUCAGUGUGAAACUCCAUACUUAAUGACUAAAGAAGAUAUUGAUUUGAAAUACCAUCUGUUCCAAAUCUGACAUUUUACAUACGAGGAACCUGAGAUCCCACCUGAGAUGGAACAACAGGCAGCUGCUUUGCACAUGAAGAACUUGCAUUUUGCAAGUUGCAGUGUUCUCCCUGCAGAAGAUAUCAAGCUGAUGUAUUAGUGUCUCCCACUCUUUACUCCAAUUUUCUUAUCAGGCAACCAUCAGGUCUAUCAUUGUUUCUUCAUUUGGAGACAGAACUGGAUUGUACCUCAUGCCCCGUACCUAAUCCAGCUCCUCUGUGAAGUCCCUGCCAGCUUCCCAAACCCGCAAAUACACACCGUACCAUGUGCCGGCCAGUCUUCUAAGUGCUUCAACAUAUCGACUGACUUAAUCACCACAAUAGCCCCAAGAGGCAGGCCCCAUUUGUAUCCCUAUGUUAUAGAUGAGGAACUUGAGAUACAGAGACGUUGAGUGCCUUGUCCGAGGUCACAAAGCUAAAAGGAGUUCAGGAGGUCAUUGACAUUCAAUUAAUGCUAUUUGAAUAAAUGAAAAUGUCCGUGGGGACUAGGUAGGUGCCUUCUAACGGAUGUGAGUGUGUUAAUAUGUGCUUUAAAUCAGAGGGAAGGAGUCUCUCUCUUUUUUAACCUUCUGGAAUCUUAUUGAGACUGCAGAUUCAGAAUUUGUUUACAACGAUUCAAAUGGAAUUUUAAUCUAAAGUUUACUUUGGCUUGGCAAGGUAUUUUCUGAGUCCUUCCUCUGAGAGAGUGUAAGUUCAUCAGUAAACAAGAACACAGGGAAAAUUUUAAACCACUUAAACAUACGCUUUGUAGUGUUAGCUUUUAUACACGUACAAUAUACUGGCACUAAUUCAUUUUUAUACAUUAAUCACAAUGAACAUUUCAGAACUGCAUCAGUCAGAGUUCAACUAGGGAAGCAGACGAGUGGAUGAUAAAUAUUAAGAGAUUUAUUGCAAGGAAUUGGGUUAUGGGAUUGCGGGGCCGGCUGGCUAAGGCUGAAAUCCAUCGGGCCAGCUGGGCAUUCUAGAGCGGGCUGAUGCGAGUGUCCCCAGCCAGCAUUUCUUCCUCGAGGAAGCCUCAGUUCUGCUCUGAAGGCCUUCCAAUGGACUGGAUCAGGCUCACCCCGAUUAACCAGGAUAAUCUCCCUUCACGAAAGUCAACUGAUUGUGGACUGGAUUCACAUCCACAAAACACCUAUAUAGCGAGAGCUGGAUGAGUGUUUGAUUGACUAAUGGGGGACUGCAGCCUCGCCAAGUUCGCACAUCCAAAGACCAUCACAAG
ensembl:lncRNA